rnacentral:rRNA from 1 species
GAUCCUGGCUCAGAUUGAACGCUGGCGGCGUGCCUAACACAUGCAAGUCGAACGUGAAAGUUCCUUCGGGAGCGAGUAAAGUGGCGCACGGGUGAGUAACACGUGGAUAAUCUACCGGGAAGUUGGGGAUAACGACUGGAAACGGUCGCUAAUACCGAAUACGCUGUUCUAUUUGUUUAGGACAGGAAAGGAGGCCUCUGCAUAUGCUUCCGCUUUUCGAUGAGUCCGCGUCCCAUUAGCUGGUUGGCGGGGUAAAGG